CAACAUUAUUAUAUUUGAGCUGGACUUCUCAUUUGGUCACACCAAGUUUUUUGACUAAAAAGAGGGUCCUUACGCACGCUUCAUCUUGUAUAUCUCUGCUGCGGUUCAUUCGCUCCAAUUACCUACAGUUUGAAUUGAACCUUCCUACUUCAAAUAAACGUGUUACAAAUGCGUACGAUAUAUUUUUCAGAGAAAAGGACUUCAAAUUGAAACUCACAGGAAUACGGAGAAGCUCAUUUUGAGACUAAUAGUUAAAAAAAAUCCGAUUGUUAUCGGAAAUUGACGGGAAAGUAAACGUAAUUCCACUAUUAAUGGCGCCUCCUCAAGAUGGCAAAGCAGCUGAAGUCAAAGAGGAAUCUGUACCUCAACGCCCAAUCUCCGAUGUCGUUUUCAUUAUUGGUACUCCAUUUUUCUAUAUAUAUUUUGAGAUUUUUUUGUGUUUGUUAGUAUGUAUUUAUAUGCUAACUUCUUUGUGUGUGUGUGUGAAUGGUGAAUAGCUAUGAAGAAGGAGGCUUCACCUCUAGUGGAGAAGUUCCAGCUCACCGAAGAAUCCAAUUCUCUGUGGGCCUUCUUUUUUUAUUUAAGCUUUAUAAGUAAUUUAGUUCAGUUGAGAUCCGACCAAAAAAAAAAAAAAACUGAGAAAAAUGAGGAUUGGGAAAAAGUAAAGGAGACUGACUGUCUCGUACAAUUUGUACUGGUGAUCUUUGGAAAGUUUAAGCCUACUGUAGUGAUAAGUGGAAUUUAAUAACGACUCGUUUAUUUAUGCUCAGUCAUUGUUGGAUUUAAAAUAAAUUAAUUGGAAAAGAAUGUGUUUUGUUAUAUUGUUGCCAUUCUACAAGUGGCCGUUACCCUUUUAUGAUUUGUUUUAUCUAUUAUCAUUUUGUGAAAAUGAUGCAGGUUUCCAAAGGGGGUCCCGUGGGUGAGGUACAGUGGAAAAUAUAAAGAUCUGAAUAUCAACAUUGUUUCCCCUGGAAAAGACAUAGUUUUGGGUCUCUCUCUCUCUUUCCUCCUUAAUUCUUGAUGGCAUGUUAUGGAUUUUGAUUUUGUUACGUGAAUUGUUUUCAGUCUCUGGUAUAUGUGUUCACUAUUAAGCCUAAUCUGCUUAUUUCUAGAUAUUUUGUCAUUUUGGCCCUAUUGUGAUGAUAAGAUUCUUUGAAAAGAUUUGAACAUAUUUUCUCCGAAACUAAAUAAAAUUAAGUACCAUGUAGUUAAGAGCGAUCAAUAAACCUUAUCCUUGGGCCAUUCAAUAUUUUUUCAUCCAGGGGUGGCGGUGGGUAGGGGGAUUGGUAUCGGAGGAAUCACUAUGAAAGUGGUUGAUCAUUCUUGAGUAUAUGUUAUUUUUAGUAGAGGAAGAAGGUAUGCAGUCACAUUAAGUUCUGUAACUGGAUUAUGAAUAUUGUGAUGCAUUAUGCAGUUUAAGGAGCUUUGUUGUUAUUUGUUGCCAUUGUUGGUUAGUCACCACAGUGAAUUUCCGACCGCUGUGUUCUUAAUUGUUUCUUUAUCAGGUGUUGACAGCGUAGGCACAGUUUCUGCAUCACUUAUAACUUAUGCUUCUAUUCAAGCAUUGCAACCAGACCUUAUCAUAAAUGCAGGCACUGCUGGAGGUUUCAAGGUAUUAUGAAUGCGGAUAUGAUGGCUUUCAUUUUUUUAUUUUUAUUUUUUAGAUGUGUUGAUCUUCUGAACCUUAUCAUAAUUGUUUAUAUUUCCAUCCUCCUUUUUCCAUGUGGCAUUUAUCGAUUCUGCUGCUGAUAGUUUUUUUCAUAUAUGUAAAAUUUGCCCUGGUUCCUUCCUUUCUUAUUCUUUUAACCAAUUUCUUUAGAUAUUUUCUUUUUCUUUUUCUUUUUCUUUUUCUAUUUUUACUUGUACUUUCUAUUUCCCUCUGUUGUUUGUUGUCUGACUGAUUCUGUAUUUAUAUGGACACCAAAAUGUUAAAACUUCUUUCCUAAAAAGUCAAUGUCACGUUUUCAGUAAAGAAUUUGAUUUAUUUCUUUGUGUUAUGACAUUUUACGCACAUUUUAGGUUCUGGCUUCCUUCGACUUGUACUAGAUGGAAUCUAUUACCUUGCUGAUAUAGAAGUUACAGUCAUAUCUUAAAUAUAGGAUAACAAAGUCACACUUACUACAGAGAGUGUUUAAUCACUCUUUUGUUGCAUAUCUUAUAUUGAUAUCUAGAUUUUACCAGGCAAAAGGUGCUUGCAUAGGUGAUGUAUACCUUGCAUCAGAUGUUGCUUUCCAUGACCGAAGAAUUCCUAUCCCUGUAAGUUUUUCCGUCUUUAUUUUUCCUCAUUUAUUUU
rnacentral:lncRNA from 1 species